rnacentral:rRNA from 1 species
CUCCUGACUGACCGAUAGUGAACCAGUACCGUGAGGGAAAGGCGAAAAGAACCCCGGCGAGGGGAGUGAAAAAGAACCUGAAACCGUGUACGUACAAGCAGUGGGAGCACCUUUAUGGUGUGACUGCGUACCUUUUGUAUAAUGGGUCAGCGACUUAUAUUCUGUAGCAAGGUUAACCGGAUAGGGGAGCCGCAGGGAAACCGAGUCUUAACUGGGCGAAUUAGUUGCAGGGUAUAGACCCGAAACCCGGUGAUCUAGCCAUGGGCAGGUUGAAGGUUGGGUAACACUAACUGGAGGACCGAACCGACUAAUGUUGAAAAAUUAGCGGAUG